CACGCCGUAAACGAUGAGUACUAAGUGUCGGGAUAACCCGGUGCUGCAGUUAACGCAUUAAGUACUCCGCCUGAGUAGUACGUGCGCAAGCAUAAAACUCAAAGGAAUUGGCGGGACCUCGCACAAGCGGUGGAUCAUGUUGUUUAAUUCGACGAUACGCGAAGAACCUUACCAGGCCUUGACAUACCGAGCAAUGCUAUGGAGACAUAGUGGAGGUUAUCUGGGAUACAGGUGG
rnacentral:rRNA from 1 species